AGAGUUUGAUCCUGGCUCAGGAUUAACGCUGGCGGCGUGCAUAACACAUGCAAGUCGAACGAUGAAACUUAAAUGAUUUCUUCGGAAUGAACUUAAGUGGAUUAGUGGCGGACGGGUGAGUAACGCGUGAGUAACCUGCCUUACACAAGGGGAUAGCCGUUGGAAACGACGAAUGAUACCCUAUGAUGUUUCUAUCUCGCAUGAGAUAUUAACCAAAGUGUUAGCGGUGUAAGAUGGACUUGCGUCUGAUUAGCUAGUUGGUGAGAAAAAAGCCCACCAAGGCAACGAUCAGUAGCCGGCUUGAGAGAGUGUACGGCCACAUUGGGACUGAGACACGGCCCAGACUCCUACGGGAGGCAGCAGUGGGGAAUUUUGCACAAUGGGGGAAACCCUGAUGCAGCGACGCCGCGUGAUUUAGAAGGCCUUCGGGUUGUAAAAAUCUUUUGUAUAGGAAGAAAAUGACAGUACUAUACGAAUAAGGUCCGGCUAAUUACGUGCCAGCAGCCGCGGUAAUACGUAAGGACCGAGCGUUGUCCGGAAUCAUUGGGCGUAAAGGGUACGUAGGCGGGUCAUUAAGUUAGAAGUCAAAGGCUAUAGCUCAACUAUAGUAAGCUUCUAAAACUGGCGACCUUGAGUAAUGGAAGGGAAAGUGGAAUUCCUAGUGUAGCGGUGGAAUGCGCAGAUAUUAGGAGGAAUACCGGUGGCGAAGGCGAUUUUCUGGCCAUUAACUGACGCUGAGGUACGAAAGCGUGGGUAGCAAACAGGAUUAGAUACCCUGGUAGUCCACGCCGUAAACGAUGAGUGUUAGUGUCUGGAGUAAUCUGGGUGCCGCAGCUAACGCAUUAAACACUCCGCCUGGGGAGUACGCACGCAGUGUGAACUCAAAGGA
rnacentral:rRNA from 1 species